UACAGAGGUCUCAAGCGUUGUUCGGAUUCAUUGGGCGUAAAGAGCGUGUAGGCGGCCAGAUAAGUCCGCUGUGAAAUCUCGAGGCUCAACUUCGAGCUGUCGGUGGAAACUAUCUGGCUAGAGUCCGGAAGAGGAGAAUGGAAUUCCUGGUGUAGCAGUGAAAUGCGCAGAUAUCAGGAAGAACACCCGUGGCGAAGGCAGUUCUCUGGGACGGUACUGACGCUGAGACACGAAAGCGUGGGGAGCGAACAGG
rnacentral:rRNA from 1 species